UUAGAUAUAAAAGGGUCCCACCUGCCCCUGUGACCAAAAGUUUAACGGCCGCGGUAUCCUAACCGUGCGAAGGUAGCGCAAUCAAUUGCCUUUUAAAUGAAGGCCUGUAUGAAUGGUAUAACGAGGGUUUAACUGUCUCUUUUUUCCAGUCAGUUAAACUGAUCUGUCCGUGCAGAAGCGGACAUAACUAUACAAGACGAGAAGACCCUAUGGAGCUUUAGACACUAACCAACCAUGAAAAGCAAUCCAAGCCAACAUACCCCAAACCCCCAUGGACCUGGAAUAAAAGUCUUAGGUUGGGGCGACCACGGGAGAAAAUAAAGCUCCCAAGCAGACCAGGGCAACCCUGAAACCAAGAGUUACAACUCUAAGCCACAAAAUUUUUGACUGAAAUGAUCCGGCCACAGCCGAUUAACGAACCAAGUUACCCUAGGGAUAACAGCGCAAUCCCCUUCCAGAGUCCAUAUCGACAAGGGGGUUUACGACCUCGAUGUUGGAUCAGGACAUCCUAAUGGUGCAGCCGCUAUUAAGGGUUCGUUUGUUCAACGAUUAAUAGUCCUACGUGAUCUGAGUUCAGACCGGAG
rnacentral:rRNA from 1 species